CCUCGGGUCUGGGGGCUGGAUGAGCCCCCCGGGGGGGGUCUCAGCUGUCCCCGAGGGGGUCUCAGGUCCCCGCGGGGGGGUCUCAGGUGUGCCCCCCCCUCACCAUUCCCCCCCCUGCAGUGCGGAAGGUGCAGUUCCCUGGGGGGGUUCGAUGGGUCCCUGAGGGAGGUCGGGGGGAUCUGGGGGGGCUCCCCUGGGUUCUGAGGGGUGGGCGAGACCCGCGGGGGGGUCUCAGGUCCCCGCGGGGGGGUCUCAGGUGUCCCCGAGGGGGUCUCAGCUGUGCCCCCCCCUCCCCGUUCCCCCCCCCGCAGUGCGGAAGGUGCAGUUCCCUGGGGGGGGUUGGGGAGGAGUGGCUCCUUGAGGGAGGUGUCCCCGGUUCUGGGGGGUGGACGAGCCCCGCGGGGGGGUCUCAGGUGUCCCCGAGGGGGGUCUCAGGUGUGCCCCCCCCUCCCCGUUCCCCCCCCCGCAGUGCGGAAGGUGCAGUUCCCUGGGGGGGUUGGGGAGGAGUGGCUCCUUGAGGGAGGUGUCCCCGGUUCUGGGGGGUGGACGAGCCCCGCGGGGGGGUCUCAGGUGUGCCCGAGGGGGUCUCAGCUGUGCCCCCAACUCACCAUUCCCCCCC